GUGGCAUAAAACUAUUGGAAAGGGAUACAGAUGACGUGGCAUCACUGUUUCAUACAAUCCUUUCCCAUAUUUCUACAGUGUUUCUAGAAGAUACAAAGUUUCCACUUGGUUCUGUGGGAAAACUAGGAAUAUGGACACUUGGUUCUGUGGGAAAAAUAGGAAUAUGGACUAUUAUCAUUCCUAUUGGUGUUGUUGAUGAUAUAGAACUUCUACUUGGAUUUUUCUCAUCUUCCUCUAUUUGAAUAUUUGAGGGUAAAAUCAAAUUAUCAUUUGUAUUUGUUAUAAUUGUACUUUUAAAAUAUAAUUUAUCAGCAGACGACACAUAUUCUAUUGUUUUUACUAGUUUAGAAGUACUUGCACUAUUUAUCCUAUCUAUCAUCUAAUCUCUUGGUAUUGAUAAAUCUUUUAAAUGUAAUAAUUUUGACUGUAUUUCAAGAGUGGUUUUAUUAGGUUCAAAGAGUUCAAUAA